rnacentral:rRNA from 4 species
CUGACCUCAAAUCAGGUAGGACUACCCGCUGAACUUAAGCAUAUCAA